GGGAAAACCUCACAGAUACAUGCAGAAAGAUUAAACUAGACAACCAACUUACACCACACACAAAAAUAAACUCAAAAUGAAUAAAAGACUUAAACAUGAGACAGGAAACCAUAAAAAUACUAGACGAAUCCACAGGCAGUGAAAUUUCAGAUAUAUACUGAAGCAAUUUCUUCACUGAUACUGCUCCUAUAGCAAUGGAAACUAAAGAGAAAAUAAACAAAUGGGAAUACAUCAAAAUAAAAAGCUUUUUUCACAGCAAAAGAAACCAUCAACAAAACAACAAGAAAGCCCACUGCAUGGGAGAAGAUAUUUGCCAAUAUUAUUAUCCAUAAGGGUUUAAUCUACAACGUUUUUAGGGAACUCAUACAAUUUAACAAAAGGAAGAUAAACAAUCCAAU